rnacentral:rRNA from 1 species
GACGAACGCUGGCGGCGUGCUUAACACAUGCAAGUCGAACGAUGAACCGGUUUCGGCCGGGGACUAGUGGCGCACGGGUGAGUAACACGUGGGCAAUCUGCCCUGCACUCUGGGAUAAGCCCGGGAAACUGGGUCUAAUACCGGAUACGACACUCCGAGGCAUCUUGGGGUGUGGAAAGUUCCGGCGGUGCAGGAUGAGCCCGCGGCCUAUCAGCUUGUUGGUGGGGUAAUGGCCUACCAAGGCGACGACGGGUAGCCGGCCUGAGAGGGUGACCGGCCACACUGGGACUGAGACACGGCCCAGACUCCUACGGGAGGCAGCAGUGGGGAAUAUUGCACAAUGGGCGAAAGCCUGAUGCAGCGACGCCGCGUGAGGGAUGACGGCCUUCGGGUUGUAAACCUCUUUCAGCAGGGAAGAAGCGAAAGUGACGGUACCUGCAGAAGAAGCACCGGCUAACUACGUG